AGGUGUGGGACUCUAUCGACGGGUUCCGUGCCGUAGCUAACGCAUUAAGUGCCCCGCCUGGGGAGUACGGCCGCAAGGCUAAAACUCAAAGGAAUUGACGGGGGCCCGCACAAGCGGCGGAGCAUGUGGCUUAAUUCGAUGCGACGCGAAGAACCUUACCUGGGUUUGACAUGUAGGGAAAAGCCGUAGAGAUACGGUGUCCUUCGGGGCCUUACACAGGUGGUGCAUGGCUGUCGU
rnacentral:rRNA from 1 species